CGGGGUGCGGGCAGGGGCCGGGUGCGGGCAGGGCCGCCUCUCCCCCGGCUUCCCGCCUAGUGAGCGCACCUUGGACAGCUGCGGCUUUUCCGAGCCGAAGCUCACGGGCUGUGGCCGGCUUCGUUUCGUGUAGUGCAGUUCCGCGACCGCCCGUGGCCACACCAUUCGGGGACUUCGUGCUUUACGAUGGGGGCGCAGUGGCCUGGCACACGCAGGACCCCGGGCCUCGAACCCUCGCGCUGGCCGCCCUGGACCCGCGGCGGGGACCCGCACAGUCAGGGUACCUGCCCAUACCGAUGGGCUGGGGACCACCACGGAGCCUUUCCUUGGCCCCGCGGCUUCUGUUCCUUUCGAGACGGACAGCGCCCACCCGGAGGAAAGCCUGACAGACGAGACUUCGCAAGGAACCUGCCAGUUCAGGGAGGCCCAUCUUUCUAGAAGGUUAACAGGAACUUCCAGCCUCCAGCCUACUUAGUGACCGGCUGCUGGAGGACGGUGAGCGGCCCCUGCUGUCCACGUCUCCACGGGGGUCACCAAGCACACUCACAGGGUCCCCCUCUCCACCUGGAGCAGAGAAUUUGGAGGAGCCCGUCUUGCUGUCUUUUCUGAUGUUGUUAAACUAUGCUUGGGCCUGCCCGUUGCUCAGAGGAGCUUUCUACACAGCUGGACUUCUGAGGUGGGACCUGCCAUGUGCUAACGCCAGCACUCGGAGCAGUCUCUGCCACUGGCAACGUCCUGUCCUGAACAUCCCCAAUGUGACCUCUCUCCUGAAAGGCCUGUGUGCGACUUAUCUGUGAAGCUGGAAGAAAGUUCUGGAACUUCCCCUUCUCCUUUGGUGCAAAGUUACACUAACUGUCAUGAUGUUGUUGAUUUCCAUUUUUUUUUUUUGUUCUUGUUGAGACGGAGUCUCACUCUGUUGCCUGGGUUGGAGUGCAGUGGCGCGAUCUCGGCUCACUACGGCCUCCGCCUCCUGGGUUCAAGUGAUUCUCCUGCUUCAGCCUCCCAAGUAGCUGGGAUUACAGGCACCUGCCACCACAGCUGGCUGAUUUUGUAUUUGUAGUAGAGACAGGGUUUCACCAUGUUGACCAGGCUGGUCUUAAAUUCCUGACCUCAGGUGAUCUGCCCACCUCAGCCUCCCAAAGUGCUGGGAUUACAGGCGUGAGCCACUGUGCCCGGCCUUGAUU
rnacentral:lncRNA from 1 species